ACUCAAAUGAAUUGACGGGGGCCCGCACAAGCGGUGGAGCAUGUGGUUCAAUUCGAAGCAACGCGCAGAACCUUACCAGCUCUAGACUGUCUGGUUUUGGGUACCAGAGAUGGAACCCUUCAGUUCGGCUGGGCCAGAUUCAGGUGCUGCAUGGCUGUCGUCAGCUCGUGUCGUGAGAUGUUGGGUUAAGUCCCGCAACGAGCGCAACCCUCGCCCUUAGUUGCCAUCAUUCAGUUGGGCACUCUGAGGGGACUGCCGGUGAUAAGCCGGAGGAAGGUGGGGAUGACGUCAAGUCCUCAUGGCCCUUACGGGCUGGGCUACACACGUGCUACAAUGGCGGUGACAGAGGGACGCAAUGGAGCAAUCCUGCGCAAAUCUCAAAAAGCCGUCUCAGUUCGGAUUGGGCUCUGCAACUCGAGCCCAUGAAGUUGGAAUCGCUAGUAAUCGCAGAUCAGCACGCUGCGGUGAAUACGUUCCCGGGCCUUGCACACACCGCCCGU
rnacentral:rRNA from 1 species